rnacentral:rRNA from 1 species
CCCGCUGAACUUAAGCAUAUCAUUAAGCCGAGGAAAAGAAAAUAACUAUGAUUGCCCUAGUAACGGCGAGUGAAGCGGCAAGAGCCCAAACUGGAAAUCUUCACACUGCGUGUGACGAAUUGUAAUCUAUAGAUGGUUCACUCACCGGGUGAUGGCGCAGAAGUGCCUUAGAACGGGCCGCCAGAGAGGGUGAAAGCCCCGUAUGUGGUGCCAUUGCCUAACGAGUGGGUCGUCCAAGAGUCGGGUUGUUUUGUAUUGCAGCCCUAAGCGGGAGAUAAACUUCUUCUAAGGCUAAAUAUAUAUGGGAAACCGAUAGCGAACAAGUACUGUGAAGGAAAGAUGAAAAGAACUUUGAAAAGAGAGUCAAAAGACUUGAAAUCGUUGAGAAGGAAGCGGUAGAAAUUUAUUCUUCGGCGUAGAACGGGAGUAGUUGCCUAACCAUUGUCGGCUUCCAGCACUUCAUAGGCUGUGGUUGGCACCUGGGGAAGCGUCUGCCUUGUUCUGCGUCGUGAGGCAAAAUGAGGUCUGAUUCCCACAGAGGCUUCUUUGACCUGACCCGAUUCGUUGGGUAGUCUGAGUUUGCUGGUGGGCAUCGGGCCUGAGGGGCUUUUGCGAUUUUGCCAAAAUGGUUUUUACCGACCCGUCUUGAAACACGG